rnacentral:rRNA from 1 species
UCCCAGGGCUCAACCCUGGAACUGCCUUUAAAACUGUUAGUCUUGAGAUCGAGAGAGGUGAGUGGAAUUCCAAGUGUAGAGGUGAAAUUCGUAGAUAUUUGGAGGAACACCAGUGGCGAAGGCGGCUCACUGGCUCGAUACUGACGCUGAGGUACGAAAGUGUGGGGAGCAAACAGGAUUAGAUACCCUGGUAGUCCACACCGUAAACGAUGAAUGCCAGACGUCAGCAAGCAUGCUUGUUGGUGUCACACCUAACGGAUUAAGCAUUCCGCCUGGGGAGUACGGUCGCAAGAUUAAAACUCAAAGGAAUUGACGGGGGCCCGCACAAGCGGUGGAGCAUGUGGUUUAAUUCGACGCAACGCGCAGAACCUUACCAACCCUUGACAUACUUGUCGCGGAUUCCAGAGAUGGAUUCCUUCAGUUCGGCUGGACAAUGUACAGGUGCUGCAUGGCUGUCGUCAGCUCGUGUCGUGAGAUGUUCGGUUAAGUCCGGCAACGAGCGCAACCCACGUCCUUAGUUACCAGCAUUUAGUUGGGUACCCUAAGGAGACUGCCGGUGAUAAGCCGGAGGAAGGUGUGGACGACGUCAAGUCAUCAUGGCCCUUACGGGUUGGGCUACACACGUGCUACAAUGGCAUCUACAGUGAGUUAAUCUCCAAAAGAUGUCUCAGUUCGGAUUGGGGUCUGCAACUCGACCCCAUGAAGUUGGAAUCGCUAGUAAUCGCGGAACAGCAUGCCGCGGUGAAUACGUUCCCGGGCCUUGUACACACCGCCCGUCACACCAUGGGAAUUGGGUCUACCCGAAGGUGGUGCGCCAACUAUUUAUAGGGGCAGCCAACC